CGACGGGCCAGGUUUGCCGUCCUGGGCCCGACAUCCGGGCCCUCCCCGCUCACACGGAGCCAGUCGCCUAAGCGAGGAGGGGCUAGCCAGGUAUUUUCAGCUUGGGGGGGUUUUAGGUUUUACGAAAAGAGGAAAGUGAAAGUCCUCAGAAUUAGGGAAUCGCAACGGACAAACUCCUUCGGCCAGUUUGGGCGCACCUUGAGGCAGGACCCCACUGCAUGCUCUCCGUGCCUUCAUCCCAUUAAGGAAGCAGAAAGGAGACCCCAGGAAAGUCUGAAUGUUUUCCAAAACUCCUUGGAGUUUGAGAUCUUUGAAACGCAUUCACGGGAUUACUCUCAGAAAGCCCCCUGGCUCCAGAGAAGAGAGCAGCCUCUGUUGUGAGCCCUUCAGAGCUGCAGUGCCUGGGUUCAAAUCCUG
ensembl:lncRNA